ACAUUACUCCCUCCGUCCCAAAAUAAGUGUCUCAAGCUUAGUACAAAUUUGUACUAAAGUUAGUACAAAGUUGAGACAUUUAUUUUGGGACGGAGGGAGUAUAUU
rfam:Triticum urartu cultivar G1812 contig1092194, whole genome shotgun sequence.